AAGUGACAGAACUGCUUGCAUGGAAGUUUUUCUUCUAAUUUGAAUUGUGUAACUACUUCGUCUAUCUCCAAAGCCAGGAGACAGGAUUACUGCCUUCCAACUAGCUCUGAAGAAAUCCGGAGGCCCUGACCCUCACUGGGAACGCUACUGUGAAUGUGUUGAUACAUGCUGAUGAUGAGUUGGCUGUAAGCAGUAUGACAAAUUGCAUAACAAAGACAUACUUGGCAGCAACAGUAUGCUGCAUUUAUCGAACAAUACUUGUUUUAAUAUGCUGCUACAAUUGCUUUUUUCUGUUGCUUACAUUGUCUCCCCAAAUACACACUGCAGUGAUGCCUGGUGUUAAAACUCACCAGUGAAAACCUCAUGACUUACAGCAACACUGCAACACUCUGUGUGUGUCUGACAUGAAUGGAACUUUUAGGUCAUAGAACCACAGAACAGUUUGAGUUGGAGGGGACUCUUACAGGUCAUCCAGUCCAACUCCACGGCAAUGAACAGGGUCACCUACAGCACCCUAUCUCCAAAACUACCAAUUUUCAGCAGGCUGUGCCCAUAAUCUAUCUACAAAAGAAAGGAGAUGUCAUCAGCCCUUUAAUUCAGUUUGGUUACUCUUUUCCUCAAAAGUAAUAUUUUAAUAUAUCAUCACAGUACCAUUCAAAUCCAGAGUGUUGUUUUUUUUUCCUCACAACUCUACUUUUUUGGACCUGGUACCCGAUGCUGUCACCUACAUGACAUCAGUUCAGCAUUUCAGUGACUGUGGGCACCAUUCUGACCCGUGCACACGUGGAGCCAGCUACAGAGCUGCCAAGCACCAAGGAGCAGGAUUUACCUACGGCUGCACACAGCACACAGAUUUCCCGUGCGAUCCAGGGCAGGCCUGGAGAUUUCUAAAAGCAUUCAUCGUUCAGCCACCUCUGCUUCUGAAAAUUAAUGACAGUUUCACCAUUCAGAGGACCAAGCAACAGGCCUGUUCUGAACUCUGGUUGAAUUCUUACUUUGUUAUUUCUCUGCGAAGUUGACAGAAUCAAUUUAUGCCCAAAAAGACCUUUGAGACUUCUGGAGCACAGCACCUGUGAAUGAUGGAUAUUUUUAUUGCAGAAAAGACACAACUACUUUGCGAAUGGAAAAAUGAACAGCUGAUGAAAAGCUGAGGAUUUAGCCAAAAUCUGCAAGUUUAUCAGAUUGCAAUUCCAUCCCCAGAGCUGGCUGCUGCGGAGUUCAAAGACUGCAAGGCCAGGCUUCAAUUACACCGGGCUGUUUACCCACUUCUUUCUCUCCCUGCCCUUCUGCCGUCCCCGUGCUCAGAUGUCAUAUUAUCCUUAUCAGCAGAUUAAAAAACCUCUUUGCAGAAACACUUAUCUGUAUGAUACCAGCGAUGACACUUAAGCUUCAACUUUCCUAUUUAACACUCCACGUGCCUUACUGAUAUCAUCCUGGACACAUGAAAUUACGUGUUCAGGACUUUCAGGGUCAGGAGAACAGCCAAGUCAGGUCGGGUAAGAGUCCAUCCAGCCUAACCUCCUGUCUCCAAUCUGUUUCAGAGGGAAAGACAGUUGUAGGAUAAACCUCCACUGAAUAAACUUUCCUCUUGUCACACAAGAUUUAUAGCCUCACUUAAGUCUGGAUUCUUGACAGUUCCUUCCCAAACCUCUUCUUUAUUUUUAGUAUUUACUGUAACAGCUGGAGACACUCUUCUUGUUGAUAUGAAUCAACACCAAAUCCUUCCCCAGUCUGACCCGGGGAAUCAUUUUUUCUGAGCCUGAAAAAUGAACUGACAAAACCCCCUUACUUGCUGUUAAUUUUGCAACUGUAAUUUCUUGGAACUGCACCUUCCCCCUGAAUUACGACCUGCUGUCAUCAAUAAACACGUGUGAGGUGAACAUUCCUGAAAUGCAGCUCCCGAAUGCUAACCAAGAGGCUGCAAGGCCCACCUUGCUGCCUACUGAUUUCACUGAAGUGCCUUAAGGAAGCAAGCCUGAAGGAAGGCAAAACCCAAGCCACUGCAUGCCCCAGUCAGAUACUGAACAAUAUUCAACAUACUUCCAAUUGUCAGCUAAUUUAAUAGACGUCGUGAUGUCCUGUCAUGGCUGGGUACUCAUUAACAUGUUAAAAUUAAUACAGCAUGUCUGAUUCCAUUUAAAAAAAA